CGAGCCGGGCGGACGGCCGCGUGGAGUCCCCUUGAGGGGGCUUCCCGAGGAACGUCCGGGCUCCACAGGGCAGGGUGAUGGCUAACGGCCACCCGGGGUGACCCGCGGGACAGUGCCACAGAAAGCAGACCGCCCGGCGCUCAGGCGCUGGGUAAGGGUGAAACGGUGGUGUAAGAGACCACCAGUGCCCAGGGCGACCUGGGCAGCUAGGUAAACCCCACCCGGAGCAAGGUCAAGAGGGGACACCCCGGUGUCCCUGCGCGGACGUUCGAGGGCUGCCCGCCCGAGUCCGCGGGUAGACCGCACGAGGCCGGUGGCAACACCGGCCCUAGAUGGAUGGCCGUCGCCGGAGGGUUCGCGAGAACCCUCCGGAACAGAACCCGGCGUACAGCCCGACUCGUCUG
rnacentral:RNase_P_RNA from 2 species